GGAGUCAGACUGCACGAGAUAAGUUGGGCAGUCAAAAGGGAAAGAGCCCAGACCUACAGCUAAGGUCCCAAAGUGUGUGUUAAGUGGAAAAGGAUGUGGGAUUUCGAAGACAACUAGGAUGUUGGCUCAGAAGCAGCCACACAUUCAAAGAGUGCGUAAUAGCUCACUAGUCGAGAGGUCCUGCGCCGAAAAUGUCCGGGGCUAAAACACAACACCGAAGCUUAGGAAUGUAGUAAUACAUUGGUAGAGGAGCAUUCUUAAAGGAAUGAAGCAGUACCGAUAAGGAGCUGUGGACUUUUAAGAAGAGAGAAUGCCGGAAUGAGUAGCGAGAUGGAGGUGGGAAUCCUCCAGGCCGAAUAUCCAAGGUUUCCAGAGUAAAGCUGAUCUGCUCUGGGUAAGUCGGGGCCUAAGGCGAGGUCGAAAGACGUAGUCGAUGGAUAACAGGUUGAAAUUCCUGUACUGCAUAUCAUCAGAACUGUGGGGACACAGAGAGAUACCGGAACCUGGGAAUGAAGAUACCAGGGCAAGCGAGGUAGGUGCUAAGCUGGCAAAACCGCUUAGUAAGCCGAAGACGUGAUGCGGAGCGAAUUAAAGUAGCGAAGUCCGGGAUUCGAGCUGUCGAGAAAAGCCGCUAUUGUGUGAUAUGUACCCGUACCGUAAACCGACACAGGUGGAUGAGGAGAGAAUCCUAAGGCCGGCGGGAGAAGCAUUGUUAAGGAACUCGGCAAAAUGACCCUGUAACUUCGGGAGAAAGGGUGCCUGGGAAACCAGGCCGCAGAGAAUAGGCUCAAGCAACUGUUUAGCAAAAACACAGGUCUAUGCGAAACCGAAAGGUGAGGUAUAUGGGCUGACGCCUGCCCGGUGCUGGAAGGUUAAGAGGAGAGGUUAGCGCAAGCGAAGCUUUGAAUUUAAGCCCCAGUAAACGGCGGCCGUAACUAUAACGGUCCUAAGGUAGCGAAAUUCCUUGUCGGGUAAGUUCCGACCCGCACGAAAGGCGUAAUGAUUUGAGCGCUGUCUCGACAAUGCACCCGGUGAAAUUGAAAUACCAGUGAAGAUGCUGGUUACCUGCGCCAGGACGGAAAGACCCCAUGGAGCUUUACUCUAGCUUGAUACUGGGAUUCGGUACUGCAUGUACAGGAUAGGUGGGAGACGAAGAGGACAGGACGCCAGUCUUGUCGGAGUCGCUGUUGGGAUACCACCCUUGUGGUACUGGAUUUCUAACCAACCUCCGUGACCCGGAGGUGGGACAAUGUCAGGUGGGGAGUUUGACUGGGGCGGUCGCCUCCGAAAGGGUAUCGGAGGCGCUCAAAGGUUCCCUCAGAAUGGUUGGAAACCAUUCGAAGAGUGCAAAGGCAGAAGGGAGCUUGACUGCGACACCGACGGGUGGAGCAGGUACGAAAGUAGGACUUAGUGAUCCGGUGGUAU
rnacentral:rRNA from 1 species